GUCGAACGCUGGCGGCGUUCUUAACACAUGCAAGUCGAACGAAGUGGCGAACGGGUGAGUAAUACGUGGGUAACCUGCCCUCCUUUUUGGGAUAAGCCUUGGAAACGGGGUCUAAUACCGAAUAAAGGGGGAUGGGCUCGCGGCCUAUCAGCUUGUUGGUGGGGUGAUAGCCUCCCAAGGCGGUGACGGGUAGCCGGCCUGAGAGGGUGACCGGCAACAUGGGAACUGAGAGACGGCCCAGACUCCUACGGGAGGGAGCAGUGGGGGAGAUUGCACAAUGGGCGAAAGCCUGAUGCAGCGACGCCGCGUGGGGGAUGAAGGCUUUCGGGUUGUAAACCUCUUUCGCUAUCGAAGGGGUAGGUGGAGAAGAAGCGCCGGCUAACUACGUGCCAGCAGCCGCGGUAAUAC
rnacentral:rRNA from 1 species